rnacentral:misc_RNA from 1 species
AAAAGUAGCAAGGAUAAAACAGCUCUACAAAAGCUUAUUUAACCUACUUACUCGAUACUGUGCUUGAUCCUAAACCUCCUUUAUGUCCUGCUAAACUUUUUCACACACUGUUUCAAGAACUCUGACAGACCUUUCCACCUGUCCUGCUCGGCUUUGGGCCUCUUGCAAGCGCUUUUCAGCCUUUUUUGAGCCGUUCCUCUGCAGCGAAGACCUUCCUAUUCCUUUCUAAUAUGUCCUUUUCAGCUACUAUAGACACUAGCAUGGUAGUCUUACCUCCAUCAAAUCCGAUAAUUUCUUCUCCAUAUCUCCCUCUUCUGAAAUCUGAUCCAGACACUGCUGCAGCCAAGUUACAUCAAGUUUGACCCUCGCUGCAGCAGAAAGCGAAA